rnacentral:rRNA from 1 species
UGGGGAAUAUUGCACAAUGGGGGGAACCCUGAUGCAGCGACGCCGCGUGGGUGAAGGAGCACCUCGGUGCGUAAAGCCCUAUCGGCAGGGAAGAAAGGCGGGCGGGGCCCGUCUGGACGGUACCUGACUAAGAAGCCCCGGCUAACUACGUGCCAGCAGCCGCGGUAAUACGUAGGGGGCAAGCGUUAUCCGGAUUCACUGGGUGUAAAGGGAGCGUAGACGGCGACGCAAGUCUGGAGUGAAAGCCCGGGGCCCAACCCCGGGACUGCUCUGGAAACUGCGGCGCUGGAGUACGGGAGGGGCAGGCGGAAUUCCUGGUGUAGCGGUGAAAUGCGUAGAUAUCAGGAGGAACACCGGCGGCGAAGGCGGCCUGCUGGACCGUGACUGACGUUGAGGCUCGAGAGCGUGGGGAGCAAACAGG